GUUUACGGUUCGUGACCCCCUUCGGGCGUGUGUCGCACGUACGUAUCAUACGCACUGGUCUCCGAUAGCAACGAACGUGACCGUACUCUAUUGUUGCAGCGAAUGUAUGCAUCUUCGGGUGUAUCUACCGCUGCUUAGCAUAUUUCAUGCCUCGUGCGUGUGUAUGCAUUAAACUAUAGAGACCGCUGUAUUUUUUUUAAACCAGAGGAAGGAUACGGCAAUAACAGGUCUGUGAUGCCCUCAGAUGUUCCGGGCUGCACACGUGCUACAAUGAUCAUUGCACUGUGCAUCUAACCCAAUGUGCGUGGACGCCACGGUAUGUAUUUAUGCUUCGGCGUAGUAUAUAUCAGUUGGUCGGCCGCGCCGAACCUACUUCGAAAGUAAAAUUUCUCAGCGGGUAAUCCAUUAGAAGUAAUGACACGCAUAGACCAUGGUACACACUUAUAUAUGUACGCGCAGGUUCUACCCGGCCGGCCUUUGUGUCGGUGCAGUGCGUAGCUUGUUGUUUCGUACGUACCACUCCGUAUUAAUUCAUACGUGGGGAUAGAUCAUUGUUUAAUUGUUGGUCUCGGUCUUAACUAGGAAUGCCUUGUACGGGUCUCCGGUUCAACAUACCACCCGGAAUACGUCCCUGCCCUUUGUACACACCGCCCGUCGCUCUUACCGAUGGAUUAUACUAUGAAUCUAUAGGACUGCCAAAGUUUGUGCACCUCGGUGCGCGCUUAGUGGAAAUAUAUAUGAAUAG
rnacentral:rRNA from 1 species